UUGAUGCUUUCGGCCAUAUUAUUAAGCAACACACCGGAGAUGUAAUACAUAGCUGAAUUAAAUUCAUAGCCAACGAAGGAUUUGCGACCACUGAAUCAUACAUCAUUGCUCUUUGAUAUGGUACUAGACAAGUACUGCUAACCGGCUGUAUAAAGUCAUCCUUCUAACCCACACUUCCAUGUUACAAAGACCACUACGAACACUAUUACAUCUACAGGGAACACACUCUGCCUUCCAUCAUCUAUGUGCUUGGAAAGUGUGCAUGCAGAAAUGUGAGUGUCUUGAUGCAUAUAUUGUGGGAAUGGAAGACAUUAGAAAAAUUGU
rnacentral:lncRNA from 1 species